AGAGCCCCAGCCCCCAGCCCGGAGGAAGAGACAGGCAAGCUUUCCUCCAGUGCUUCAGCUUGACCCUCCUGUACAGCAGAGACCUCCCAGUAAGAAAGCCCCAGGGGGCUGCAUCUUCUUCCAUGUGGUCCGUGAGGGAUGUGGCACAUGGCCCAGAGAGGGUAUUGUGUACGCUGCCAGGUGCCAGCCUACAGGUCAUCCUGGCCACUCUGCAACUUUGGAAAUCACGACCUGAGUCCUUCUCCCAUCCCGUUCCAUGACCCAGAUCCCGUUAAUAAGGGAGAAGGAGAUCACACCGUGCAGUGGGAACUUCUCUCAUCUGUUCUUGAUUCCAGAUGAUGAGCUUGGUGCUCCCUUUCCAUAUAGUGAUCUGGAUCCAGAUUUUGUGCCUGCGGGACAACCCAGAGGCCCUCCUGGUCAAUUGGCAGAACAGAAUCCUGCCCAUGAGCCUGAGGGGGAUGCCAGAGAUGUGACUGGACGAGAUGACCCAGCUUCCCGUCUGAGUUCUGGGACUGAAACUCCGGCGGAUCGCGUGGUAGUGCCCACAGGGAGGGCCUUGCCCGGUCCUUGGUUUCUUCCUGUGCCGGAGCGCAGCUGGAAUCCCAGGGGUCCGGAAGGAGGAAAGGAUGAAUCCCAAAGAGGAAGAUACUCCCAGGGCUCAUCCCAUCUCCUGGAGGAACUGGUGAAGGAAAUGGAGAAGGCAGCGCGUGGGGCUGACCAACAGACUGCGCAGAAGGAGGCACUGCAAGAAGGCAGCCCUCCCACACGGCCAGCCUUGGACAAUGAAACCCAGGCAGUGCAAGCAACUGGCAUGCCAGGGAUGAAUGCAGGGAACACGACGGCUGCUGUUCGCACAUUUCAGCGACAGCGCUACAUCUCAGCGAUUGCGGCGGCCUCUGCUGUGCUGCUGUCUGCGCUGGUGCUGGCCCGUGUUGCCGUGUCAUGGAUGUGGAAAAAAUAUGUAGAGGGCAAGAGAGAAAAGAAAGCAGCAAAACGAGCUCAUCCUGACACCGAUGGGAAAAGAGUUCCAACUGGAGGUGAAGGCACAGUGGAGCUAGGAGAUGGCAAAAGAGGACUGGUCCCUUCCGAUUCGCUUGAAGAAGUUUCAAAUGACGAAAUACCGGUGUGGGAAAGGAUACCGUAUUGA
rnacentral:lncRNA from 1 species